UGGGAAAUAUUGCACAAUGGGCGAAAGCCUGAUGCAGCAACGCCGCGUGAGUGAUGAAGGUCUUCGGAUUGUAAAGCUCUGUCUUUUGGGACGAUAAUGACGGUACCAAAGGAGGAAGCCACGGCUAACUACGUGCCAGCAGCCGCGGUAAUACGUAGGUGGCGAGCGUUGUCCGGAUUUACUGGGCGUAAAGGGUGCGUAGGCGGAUGUUUAAGUGAGAUGUGAAAUACCCGGGCUUAACUUGGGUGCUGCAUUUCAAACUGGAUAUCUAGAGUGCAGGAGAGGAGAAUGGAAUUCCUAGUGUAGCGGUGAAAUGCGUAGAGAUUAGGAAGAACACCAGUGGCGAAGGCGAUUCUCUGGACUGUAACUGACGCUGAGGCACGAAAGCGUGGGUAGCAAACAGGAUUAGAUACCCUGGUAGUCCACGCCGUAAACGAUGAGUACUAGGUGUAGGAGGUAUCGACCCCUUCUGUGCCGCAGUAAACACAUUAAGUACUCCGCCUGGGAAGUACGAUCGCAAGAUUAAAACUCU
rnacentral:rRNA from 1 species